GCCUUUGAUGAACUGCAGUGGGUCAGCACAUCUGGCUGUUAACCAGAAGGUCAUUGGUUUGAGCCCACCCAGGGACA